UACGGAGGGUGCGAACGUUAAUCGGAAUCACUGGGCGUAAAGCGCGCGUAGGCGGUCUGUUAAGUGGGAUGUGAAAUCCCCGGGCUUAACCUGGGAAUUGCAUUUCAAACUGGCCGACUAGAGUACGGUAGGGGGAGGUAGAAUUUCCUGUGUAGCGGUGAAAUGCGUAGAUAUAGGAAGGAACACCAGUGGCGAAGGCGGCUCACUGGCCCGGUACUGGACGCUGAGGCGCGAAAGCGUGGGGAGCAAACAGGG
rnacentral:rRNA from 1 species